CCUUGUAAUGCGUAGUAGCGUAGUAGUUUAGGCAAUCAGAUAUUUUAUGAUGAUUGAAUGUGGAAAAGUUGAAUAUUAUACUUUGCAAUGUUCAUAUGCACAUGCAUAUGAACGCAUGCAUUCAUAUGUGUGAUUCCCUGAUGUCCAACUCAGAUCUGGGGUAUCCUGUAGGCUGGUUUUCUAUUAAAACACACACAAAUUACUGUGAGGUCACAAUGCGCUCAAUGAUAGGUUCGGGAAGCUGGACUCGUCAUAAUGCCUCGUGUCAAUCGAGUAGCCUGCUGAAGUUCUAAAGUUUUCAUUCGCCCUUCGACGCCAAGUAGAGAGACUCAUAGAGAGAUUAUCGAACAGCGACGAUGGACAGGAAGACAUUGUUUUCUUUGUGGGCUCAACUGACCCCUGCUUCCAUCAUGAUGGAGGACAGGGAGUCAUACACCGAGGAGACCAGGCUCGUCCCCGCCCCCCCUACUGAGGCCAAGCCCCCGGGCCUUAACCCCCGCUACCCUCGUGGGGCUAGGCUGCCCUGGUUGGCUGCCCCAGCUGGUGGCAGCAACGAGAGGGUCGUCCUCCGCCCCCCUACUGAGGCCAAGCCCCCGGGCCUUAACCCCCGCUACCCUCGUGGGGCUAGGCUGCCCCGGUUGGCUGUGGCUGAGGAGGCUGACGACCAGGAAGCCUGGAUCCAGGCGGCCCACUCCGACACCGUGUCCCUCUGUGCACGGGCUCAGGGUGCCGCCUCGAGCCAGGAGACUUCCCCGGGCCGAACCCCCCCAGAAGUGGCUGACCCUGACCACCAUCGUGGGGCUAGGCUGCCCCGGUUGGCUGUCCCAGCCGCUGGCGCCAACGACAGGAUCGUCCUCUGCCCUACUGAGGCCAAGCCCCCACAUAGACCCCCAGUGUCCUUCACAGUGGAUCUGCGGGACGCCCCGCUGAGCUCCGCCCCCUCGUCCCGGAAUGCCGCUGCCUCCGCCCGCCGCCGGGUGCCCAGAGAGGUCCGCCUCCGUCCCGAGGCGGACCUCUCUGGGACGGAGCGCUCCCAGUUCGCCAACGGCCAGAGGUCCCAGGCCCCAGGCAGCCCGCCGGCCUCUGACGUUCCUGAAGGCGUGGCGGGCAGAGGUAAGUACGCGUUGAGCCCGUUUCCCCCUGUGCAGGAGCGUCUGAGGAACGGCAGGAUCCCCCGGGAGAAGCUCCGGGGCCCGCCCCCCCACCAGGCAGGGGAAGAGGCCGGGCCCUCUGGGAAGAGGCAGAAGAACGGGGGCCGCUGUUUCCCCGACCAGAGGUUGACCGCUGAGCCCGAGCUGGAGGAGAAGCUGUUGGAUAGCAGAGAUGAGCCGGCCCAGGGCUCCCUCAGCGGCCCCCAG
ensembl:lncRNA